CAACUUGCUGCCCAUAUUGAUAAAAGAAACCUCUCUGCUCGGUGUUAGACCUACCAUCUCCUGCGGAUGUGCUACCCUUCCUGAGGUUUCUGUCAUUCCACAUCUACUGAUUCCUCAAGAUGAAUUUUGGCUGUGCAUGCGUAACCCUUUGUGAACACACAGUGGGACAGUGCUAGUCGGCUGCAGGAGCGGCUGCAGGGCCAGCUGAGCUCAAUGGGGUUCACCAUCAGGGAGCUGGUGGGCCUCUUGGUCCUUCGCCCGGCCCAUCAUGCCGUUCUCC